rnacentral:rRNA from 1 species
GAUGAACGCUAGCUAUAGGCUUAACACAUGCAAGUCGAGGGGAAACGGCAUUAUGUGCUUGCACAUUUUGGACGUCGACCGGCGCACGGGUGAGUAUCGCGUAUCCAACCUGCCCUUUACUUGGGGAUACCCCGUUGAAAGACGGCCUAAUACCCGAUGUAAUUCAUUGAUGGCAUCAGAUAUGAAUAAAAGAUUUAUCGGUAAAGGAUGGGGAUGCGUCUGAUUAGCUUGUUGGUGAGGUAAUGGCUCACCAAGGCAACGAUCAGUAGGGGUUCUGAGAGGAAGGUCCCCCACAUUGGAACUGAGACACGGUCCAAACUCCUACGGGAGGCAGCAGUGAGGAAUAUUGGUCAAUGGACGGAAGUCUGAACCAGCCAAGUAGCGUGCAGGAAGACGGCCCUAUGGGUUGUAAACUGCUUUUAUACGAGAAUAAUUUGAUGCACGUGUGCGUUAUUGCAUGUAUCGUAUGAAUAAGG